rnacentral:rRNA from 1 species
AACACCUAGGAGGAUCCUGAGUACGGCGGAACACGAGAAAUUCCGUCGGAAUCCGCGGGGACCAUCCCGCAAGGCUAAAUACUCCCUAGUGACCGAUAGUGAACCAGUACCGUGAGGGAAAGGUGAAAAGCACCCCGGAAGGGGAGUGAAAUAGAUCCUGAAACCGUGUGCCUACAACAAGUCAAAGCUCGUUAAUGAGUGAUGGCGUGCCUUUUGUAGAAUGAACCGGCGAGUUACGAUUGCAUGCGAGGUUAAGUCGAAGAGACGGAGCCGCAGCGAAAGCGAGUCUGAAUAGGGCGAAUGAGUAUGUAGUCGUAGACCCGAAACCAUGUGAUCUACCCAUGUCCAGGUUGAAGGUGCGGUAAAACGCACUGGAGGACCGAACCCACGUACGUUGAAAAGUGCGGGGAUGAGGUGUGGGUAGCGGAGAAAUUCCAAACGAACUUGGAGAUAGCUGGUUCUCUCCGAAAUAGCUUUAGGGCUAGCCUCGGAAUUGAGAAUGAUGGAGGUAGAGCACUGUUUGGACUAGGGGCCCAUCUCGGGUUACCGAAUUCAGAUAAACUCCGAAUGCCAUUCAUUUAUAUCCGGGAGUCAGACUGCGAGUGAUAAGAUCCGUAGUCGAAAGGGAAACAGCCCAGACCACCAGCUAAGGUCCCAAAAUAUAUGUUAAGUGGAAAAGGAUGUGGGGUUGCACAGACAACUAGGAUGUUGGCUUAGAAGCAGCCACCAUUUAAAGAGUGCGUAAUAGCUCACUAGUCGAGUGACCCUGCGCCGAAAAUGUACCGGGGCUAAACAUAUUACCGAAGCUGUGGACUACACCAUUAGGUGUAGUGGUAGGAGAGCGUUCUAAGGGCGUUGAAGGUCGAUCGUGAGGACGGCUGGAGCGCUUAGAAGUGAGAAUGCCGGUAUGAGUAGCGAAAGACAGGUGAGAAUCCUGUCCACCGUAUGACUAAGGUUUCCUGGGGAAGGCUCGUCCGCCCAGGGUUAGUCGGGACCUAAGCCGAGGCCGAUAGGCGUAGGCGAUGGACAACAGGUUGAUAUUCCU